UUAGACGAGCCACUUCACAACAUUCUAACUACCGCCACCGCCAUUAAAGAGAGAGAAGCAGUUUCACCAAAGGAGGUGGGGAAAGACAGAGAGGCAUACAAAGACUCUGUGAGGUAACAGUCACUCCCAGAGAGAGAAAGCAGCCUUGGGAGGUACACAAACUGAAGUAAACGGCACAGAGGAUAACUUGUGUGUCACUCCUAAAAACCACCAAGAAAAAGAAAGAGAACAAUAAACCUGAGGACAGCACUAAGGGAAGAGAAGAUGAAAAGGUUCAAAGGAAGGGAAGAAUAAAAGGAGCAUGAAAGAGGACAGAAAAGCAGUGAAUGGGAUUUCUUUUUUGUGUCGUAUUACUUUUCAUCCAGUCCACGUGCUGAGUAUCAUCUGCACCUGAGGAGUUAUCCCUGCUAACCCUAAUCUCGACCUGACUGCUAAUCUCAGGCGGUGUCUGAGGACUCCUCCUCUGGAUGACAUACAUUCCAACGACAACUCGCACUCUGACAUUGAGACACUUAAGCAGGUAACUGCUACAGGGGAAGAGAUGACAUGUUCAUCACGGUGUCCUCCUCAUCAACUGGUCUGCUUACUUCUGUACUGUAAUUUCUGACAGUCAGUCUGGGCUUGGCUGAGUGUGUGAAAACAACAAGGACUCUCACAGGAUGGACGCCAAAGAUGAGACGCUGAACCUCCUGAACAAGAUAUGGGUCAAGCUGCAGGGUCUUCCCAACGCCAACCCUAUAGAGCUGGGGGCUUUCUUCAUCCUCUUAACCUUCAUCUUGGUUGUUGUGCUCAUGACAGUGCUGACCUGCGUGGCCUGCUGCUGCUGUCGCAAGACCAAGACGAAGGGAGUAGGCAUUUGAGCGAAUAUGCUCUACACAUGGACAAUCUCUAGAAGUGUAACUCCCCAAUCAGGCAUCUAAAUCACAAGAGACAGAUAAUGCCAAACAUCCCCAAAACACAAAAACAGGCCUUCUCAGCAGCUCUCUCACACACCAUGAGAGUCAUGGUCAUGUAAUUGACAAAAAGACAUUUAUAUCUAUCUCAGCGAGCGACGAAGCCUUGCACAGGGUGUGUUCAGUGGCACAGAAGAGGUCCAACCCUUGAACAACAAAGCACCUGACAAACACACACAAGGAUGUCCUUGACUGGCUGCCAAACACACAGCAGCUGAAGCUUGCAGGCUUUCAGGAGAAUCUACAUUCCUUGGAGUAUCCCUGCAACACUGUCUCUGAACUGAGGGAAAGACACAGCCAAUCCCAACUGUCUUUAAUCAAAUAGACAAAUACAUGGAAAAUGAGUGAUAAAAAUAUGUAGAACUUUUUUUUUUUUUUAUAACUGCAGAGCAACAAGAGAGAGUUGAACUGUCAAAUAUGAAGGGGAGUGAAAUAUUGGCUCAUUAUCUUGUUUUUCUCAACAUAAAUCAGUGUCAUCCUUAAAGAAUGGGAUUUGGCAGUCAAACUUGAGGGGAGGGAGGGGGGGCUGUUUUCUAACCAGAAAGUGUUCCUUCACAAACAAGGAGAGAAAGAGCAAAAAAAAAAGAGAGAGAUCAAGUGUGCCCUCUGCUGUACAGAAACUGAAAUUAAUCCUGAUUUUUUUUUUUAAAUUAGGCAUAGCAUGGAUGUAUAAAAAGAUAUGUUAAAUGUAUAAAACUGCAUGUUAUAUACAGUAUGUGCAAAUGGGUAAAGACAUUAUAUAAUGAUGUGAUGGUUUGACUCUACACUUUGAGUUUUGUGCAAUAAACAAAACUUUACAUGUA